GCCCAAUGAUUUAUUAUUUAAUGGCUGCAGUAUUUUAACUGUACGAAGGUAGCAUAAUUAUUAGUUUAUUAAUUGUAAACUUGUAUGAAUGGUUGAUUGAAAAAAUAACUUUCUUCAAUUAAUUAUUUUGAAUUUGCAUUUUUAGUUAAAAUGCUAAAAUUUAUUUAUAGGACGAGAAGACCCUAUAAAACUUGAUAUAAUCAAUUAUAUAAAUCAUUGAUUAUAUUUAAUUGGGGAGAUUUUGGAAUUUUUUUAACUUUCAAUAUUUUUAUUUCAGUAAUUAUUGUUUUUUAGAU
rnacentral:rRNA from 1 species